ensembl:lncRNA
UAGCAAACAACAAUUUAUAUUUGCAUUAUAAGUAAUAACAUUUUUUUCUUUUAAACAGAUUUGUGGUUUUCACUGUAAAAAAAACUAACUUUUUCCUACUUGGAUUUUAUGUUUUUUUUUUUGUGAUUUUAGGUCCAUUGUGUUAAUACAGUUUGUCAAAAUGAAAAAAUAACUGUACAGUCACACAUGUGAGGUUGUGCUGAAAAUAAUGACACCAAGUAAAUAGUUUUUAGGGUGAAAUAUAAUGGCAAAAUCAAAAAUAGUCAAAAACGGCCAAUUAUACCCUGGAAUAUCGGAUUUCACAACAAACCUAAAUAUCCCUGAUGUCCCACCUUCAAACACAGCCUCAUUUGGCCAUCCAUGAAUGCCUGCCAUGACGGCCACGAGCCGGAAAUGCAGCAACUAACGUGUAACCGGUCUGCCUGUAAAGAGGAAGGAAGGAACCUUGGCUUCCUCACUUCCACUGCAGCAGACUAUAGUCUGGGGUCUGUUUCCAUCUACUUCACAUCUUUUUAUGGGCUUUCUGAGGUUUCAGCAGUAAGGAAUUGGCAAGAAUCUGAGGGACCAAACACAGCAGGUCGGAGGAGAAUCGGCCUCUACUGUGGACUGGGACUGACAACAGCAGCAGCAGCAGCUGUGCUGGUUGUUUGUAAAAAGUCCAGCGCAGAACUCAAGAAAAGUUCCAGCUCAGCAGAAAGAUCAGAGAAAACUGUUUGAUCAACAAUGUAAGUGAGAUAAUUUUAUACCAUGGAGGCAGAAAAUACUCUUUUUUCAUCGGCUGGCAAGUGUUGGCUAAUGGUAAUGUUAUUGUUUCUUAUCUGACUUUGGUUAGUUUGAAUUAUAUUUACAAAUUCCAACUUUCCAGAUCAUUAAUGGAUAAGUAAAACACAAACAAUUCUUCGAUUCCGUAGUAAUGUAGACAAAAACCCUCAACCUAAUUUCAUCAACACAAGCUGUCCUUCAACAGACAUUUGAGUCUAUGUGCAGCCCACCUUCAGAUGAGUGCGACACUGGGACCAUCUACAAAGUGCAACAAAAAAGAGAUAGUACAAAAAUAUUCAAUAACUUCCCUCUGCCACAGUGUAGCAUCACCAGAACCACUUAACACAUCCAUGGUGUCCUGUUGCUUGAACAACAACAUUACGAUAGGAAAAAUGCUUAUGCAGGAAAUUAUUUUGUGUGCAGAAUAUUUAAUAACUUAACUCUCACUAAGUGUAGCCUACUUUCAUGAAUUGACAUAUAGGUUCAAACACACAUUCCAUCUAUUAUUUACUUAACUGCUUCUUCUGAGAAGGAUGUCUGGUUUGGGAUCCCUUUGGUUCAUAUCUCUGGGCUCAUUCGGCAAUGCUGACAGGAUUGAUAUUCAUUUAAAGGAAUUGUGUGUCAUUUCAAAUUCAGUCAGACUUCAUAUUUGAAAAGAUUGACAGCCAUAGUGCUUGAGUAGCUCCACUGUACAACCAGAAGAUGAGAGCCAUGGGCCACAGUUAAUUUUCUGUUUAAUCAUACAACAAAAGAGACAAGAAAUGCCUAGCUAGGUUGUCUAGUGCGAUUGGGUUGUGCAACAGCAAAGCUGAUGCAGUGGAUUGUGAGCUGUAGUUGCCCUGCUGGUAAACAUACCAACCACUUUGGCUGUCUUGAGCUGCAGUGUCUCUGGGCUCAUUAGGUAGAGCAGAGAGGCAGGGUAGCGGAGCAGAGGUAGAACCGGCUCCAUAGGAACCAGGUAAAGGGACAGAUCCAGGAUUUUUUCCUCACUGACUUUAGUGUUGCAAAGGCAACAUUUUGGAUCAUUUCUCAGGCGACAUCGCAUGAACCUAAUAAAAAAAAGCCAGGCAUGUUUAGGUGGCUGUUAUAUGAGUGAGUACAAUUUGAUUCAGAUCCUAGAUUUCCUAGAUCCUAGAGCUUAGAUUAUGAUAAAGCAACCAUGGGUGGUUAAAGUGAUAGAGGGCCAUUGAGUUUGAUAUUGCAUUAGACUAGAUAGAUUAGAUUGAUUUACAGGGACUGUUGGGCCUUAGUGGAUGCAUCUGUUCUACUUAAUGCCAUUCCAGUUUUACAGAGGUCCUGAAAAAGUUGAUUCUUUGUCACCACUGGCCUCAAAAUAUUCAGCAUUAUUUCAAGAGGUAGUUUUAUAUGUAACGUGGUGAGAAACAAGUGUAAUAUUUGUCAUCACAAUACAGUGAAAUAAUUAAGUGUAUAGUUCAAUGUUUGAGUGUGCAGUCUUCUUUAAAACAAUCACUCAGGCUGCUUUAAAUUCUCAGAAUAAACUGUUUGCUUAGCAGUUUAAUUUAUGCAUUG